ensembl:miRNA
GUGCUAAAGUAACUGCGGUUUCUGAAAAGUAAUUGAAAACCGCAAUUACUUUUGCAG